rfam:Brachypodium distachyon strain Bd21 chromosome 5, whole genome shotgun sequence.
UUGGUACUUACUCCGUCCAACAAAAGAUGUCUCAAUUUUGACUAAAUUUGAAUGCAUCUAUAAGGAUGUCUUAACUUUGACUAAAUUUGAAUGCAUUUAUAUACUAAGUCAUGUCUAAAUACAUUCAAAUUUUGACAAAGUUAAAACAUUUUUUGUUGGACGGAGUGAGUAAGAU